AAAGGUCAAUUUUCAUUAAAUGCUUAAGAAGUCAUUCCACUUUGAUGGACAAACUAUGUUUUAAAGCUUUUCCAUUUUAAAUUCAGAACUUCUAAAAAAAAUUCUCAUAGAUACUUUUGGCACCACAUAGGUCAUGCUCUCACUCUCUGAGGGCUAUUUAUACAGGCUAGCGUGUCCAAAUAUGCCUGACUUUAUACUCUUACAUCUCUGGUUUUAUUCUGUUACCCUAGCAUAGUCAAGGAGGAUCUACCUCUCAAUACUGCAGUGAAAGAGGUUAAAAUGACAAAAAGCUUCUGGAAUUAUUAAAAGCACAAACAAGCUUAUAUAAUAUAUUAAACAGUUGUAGAAGAUUUGCAACUGGAUUGAUACAUUCACCACUUUAACUUGUCUCCAUUAAGAACUGCUGUUCAACUGUAAAAAAUGGGUACGUAGGGAGAUUCAUAAAGCAUUGCAAAGAUCCUGAGGUAAAUGAAUCCACAGAACAGCUGUAAAUAUUUGCAGAUGUUGUAGAGUUGAGGUCAGGUGGUCUGAACAAGGCCAAAGUAAGAAAUUUCAAAGGAUCUAGUCUGCAACUUACUAUAUACUAUCAAAGCCCAAAAGUCUUUCCUAAUGAGCUUUGUCAUCAGCCCCACACUACACACAAAUCACAGAAUCACUUCUAAGUUACCGAAUAUGCUUACUAAAAAAAAAAAAAAAAAAAACACACUCAUGUCACACAUCUUCCUGCAAAGGAGACAAAAGCAGCUACAACACAUUCACAAUUUAAUUAAGCCCUCAUCUAUUAAAAACUAUUUCUGCUCUUCUAAGACAGAGGAACGUAUGACUCAUUCUCCCAAAUUCCUUUUAGCACUCUCACGCGUGGCAGUCGUACCCUCACCCACCUACCUCAGCACCUUCAUGUCUUCUCACCUGCAAGCUCCAAGUCUGAAUAAAAUUUCUGUAGAUGUAUUUAUCCAGUAACAGCAGGAAAUGUCAGUUCAUUCUAAACAAUUACACUUCUAGCCUCCUAAGGGUAGAUUUAAAGAAGUACAAUCUUCAAUAUCUCCUCUAUACUAAUAUUCCAUUUAUAGUUAAAAUAUAGAACUCUGCUUCAUACUCUGACCCAAUGGUUUUUGUUCCAAGUAUUGGAGUGCUUUCAACUUCAAGUUACUUGAAUGUAAUUCUAAAUCCCAAAAUGUUUCUAUUUUACUCAAAAAACAAAAAAAAACAAAAAAAACCACCAACCAUCACCAAUAGUAAUGUCAGGAACUAAGGCAUUGACAAAAUCCUUUAUUAGCAUGACAGCUCACACUGUGAUAUCAACACAUUCGCAAAAUAGAGUUGCCAAAAGAAAUACAUAAAACCAAAACAUUUUUGGGUGGUUUUUUUUCCCCUCAUUUCUUUUUCCUUAAGUCUUAUAAUCUUACAAAUCUGGCCCAUUCAUCUUCUUCCCAAAAAUCAGGUGUGCUGGUUUUUGUUUAACCUGUUUAAAUGUGUAAUAUUUCCACUUCCUGAUGUAACUCCAUUGAAUAGUUUUCCAAAUAGCUUGAUUUAGUUUGCUUCAGCCAAAGCUCUCUUUGCUCAGGACCAAAAUCAAAGCCACAUUUUCUCUGAUGAAAGCGGUGUUUUCCUUUUUUUCCUGUUUUUAAGUCACAGGGGUUCAGAAACGCUCACCUCAGAAUUUAGUGUGGAUCUCCAGUAAUUAUAGCCCCAAAUGAAAAGAAAUUCUUUCAGGAGAGUACAGCAGCUAUUACAUAGCAGAUAUCAAAACUACACAAUUGUUCAGGACAGGAAGUGAUGGCAUCUCUCAUUAAACUAAAACUAAACAGGAAAUAACUUUACAUAAUUAGCCAACUUGAAAUCUGGCCAGGUCACAGGGAUUAAGAACUCCUACCAAAGUUCAGCUCACCCUGUGUUAAUUGGCUGUGAACUUAAUUUCAAAGCAGAGAACGUUCUAUUCUACAUAUGAUGUACAGCACACACCAAAGAAGGUUAUAUAUGUACAAGCUAACAAAAUCAGUUUCUCUUGAGGUACUUAAGGUACGUUAGCGUAAGGUUGAAGGUUUAAAUAGUUUUGUUCAUAACAUGCAUUUUAGUUGACUACCUUUACAGUUACACUAACUAAUCUUUAGCAUUUUAAGAUACAAUGCAGAAUUUCUUUCCAAUGCUCCCAAUACCAUGAUAGAAAUACAACUGUAAAUUUAUAUCAUUUCUUCGACAAAAACUGGUUAACUUGUGUCUGUUUGUUAAAGACCUUCAGUUUGUGAAAAACUUUUCGUUUUGAAGCACAAAGUAACGUUCAGAUUAUUAGGCUUCUAGCUCCUCUAAGUGUGUACUAAUUACGUUUGCAUAUCACAGUGCUAAGGACAUUGUAAGCACAUUUUAUAUUUUAAGAACCUGAUGAUGUAGACAUAAAAUAAAAAAAUACAUGUAACAUACCAAUAUCUGCAAGAAAGCUAGCUUGGUGAAUGAAUUGAAUUACAUUACUAAGAACAUGUCCAUAAAGAAGAAAAAAUUGUAAAGUAGGCUAAGACACCAUUCAUCUAAGAAACACGUGUAAUUUGAUCAAGUUAAUUCCUAAUAUCUUUCAGUACAAAAUUUGCUAUUAACUACAUCUUCUCAAGAAGUGAUUUUACUUAACCUGGUAUUUCAUCACUGCAGAUUAACUUGACUGAUUCAAUUAAAUAUGGCAGAUACAAUAUCUGGUGGAGUAAUUUAAGAAAAAAGUAUCCAAUACAUCAAAGUGCUCCAACUCAUCUAUUUAGCCAUUGGGAUAAUGACUUUUCCAAAUAAAUCAUUAUGUGAAAGAAAUACAGAAGACAUGGAUCUGAUUUCCAACAACCAAUUAAUAUAUUUCAUUUUCCUUUAUAUCACAAAUACUAUUCUUGACAAGAAAAGUAGAUUAAAAGAUAAAUUAGACAUCCUUAGAAGUUACACCUUUUAUUUUUCAUUGCAUCACAAUUAGUAAUUUCUAAAAAUCUAUAAACUGCUAAUAAUGACAUUAUUUUUAUAGAUUAGGAUUGUGGUAGAUAAGACCUGAAAUCAUAAGCUUGUGAUUCUAAGUCCUCUUAAGUUCUGCCUUCCAAAUAGCAGACCGAAACAUUUAAUAUCCGUUGUAAAUUUAGUUGCACAAGUCAGUAAGGAAUUACAUCUAAGAUCCAGAAACUUGUUGUUACAUAAAAACAUAACUUACAAGAACACAGAUUGUAGAAGAGAUCAGAAUCAUUCUUCUUCAGUGUAAUACUAUCCUGAUGUUUCUUUCUUCUUUUUUCUUUUUAAUCUGUUGGUCCUAUCUUCUUCAGAAAUUCUUAAAUAUCUAUUGUUUCUUAAUUUGACCACAUUUUCCUCCAUCAUCAGUUUCCUUUCUCAGUGCUUCGUGUUCAUUUAGAAGAUGGCUCACAACCACCACGCAUGGUGCAACACAGAUCAAACUUCUUUCAGGACUGCAGAGAAUUGAGCUACACAUUUAGAAUUUGGAUAUUUUUAUCAUGUUUCUGAAACAAUUGAAACAUCAAGGAUGCCUUCCCCUGUCUUGUUUAUCAAAUAUUUAGCCCUUUUUAAUAUGAAAGCAAGCACAGAAAGGAUCAUUUCCUCACUACCGAAAGUUUAGAAUAAUACUCUUUGAAUAAAUACCAUUUCGGCUUUUUAUUAUAGAUCUGGGGAGUUUCCUUAGGCAAAAAAAUCAUAACAAGCAGCUACUUACUUUGACAACAAAAGUAACAGCCUGACACAAAUAUAUGGAUAACUAAAAACUUCCAGUCUUGGUCUUCCUGCUACCACCUCCCUUUUUUCUCCCCAGAACAUACCAGCUUCCUUUGCCACAUGUUAAAACUGUCACACGUUAUUUGCAGUGCCCUACAGAUAGCUUUCAGCAAAGCUCAGUGAUAAAACCUUGCCCAAAGUACUUGCUGGUAUGGUGAAGCAGUGAAUUCUGGUAGUUGCACGAAGGUAUGUAAGAAUUCUCCUAUGUGGAAAAAGGGCAGAGCAUUUGAAAUUAUAGACUACAGUGGAAAUGGCUCACAAAUUAAGUACAUUACUGUCCUUAGUUAAGUAUGCAAAUCUCAGCUUCUAGAAGUUACCAGUAAGGAUUCUUUUGAUGCUUGUCACAACAUUAUUAUUUAAAAUAAACAGAAAAAAUAUUUUUAUUUAAAAAAAGAUUCCCAUUCUUGGAUUUCAAUGUGAAAUCUUAUUUACCAAAUAUAAAUUAAUACAGAUGUAUGACAAAUAGUCACAUUCAUUCGUAGGAUACCAAAGAUAGAAAUAAUCUCUAUGGUUUCCCCACCAUUCUGCUAGCCUGAAUAUACCAAAUUCAACCUCCUCUUCUGACAAACUCAGCAACUUAUGAAGAAAAUAACAAGUAAUUUAAAUCAUUAGAUCAAAUAGACCUGUAGAGUUAACUGCUAGAUCCAGCAGCAUUCCCCUGAUUUUGCAAUACUGAUGGCCUUUGGCCAACAUCCAACCUUGGUUUGACUUCUGGCUGCUGAGGAUGACGCGUAGCCCUGGCUCACUGCAGGUUUCCAGUCUGACUCCAAUGCACGCAAAGCACUGAGCCAAGAACACCUCAGCUCCUUUCUUGUCUGCCUCUUCCCUUGCACAAAUCAGAAGAGGCCUCACUGCAAGCUCAGAUGAAGCUGAGGGCUGCCUCCAGCUGGCUGCCCCUGGUGCCAGGCCUCAUACCACCGCUGAGCCUCGCCACUCAGUUCCAGCACUUCACACUGGGCUCAACACAGAAGGCUGAGUUGCAGGGUCGGCUCGGACCAGGCAAACUCCCUGCUGGCUGGCCACCCAGUUACACCCACAGGUGCUGGCCAGCGUAGUUUAAAAUGCCACGCUCUCAGAUUCAUUGUUAACAGUUCUGCUUGAAGUUGGAUUUUGCUGGUAUAAGACUGCUGGCAGAUGACCUCAUAUGCAGACAGCUGAUUACACAAUCAGAUUUCCUCACCUGCUCACUCACUGGUAAGGAUUUUUUUAAUUACAGUGUAAUCCCAAUCCCAAUAUGUUCCUUUAUUUAAAAGGAACACAAGUGUUAAGUAGGGCAACGCUUUCAAAUCAGCCAAUUUACGUAUAUAACAAGUGUUGGGCAACAGCAAGUUAAGUGCUCAGCGCAAAAAUCCAAGAACAUUUAGAAUAGGAGAAUACAUACUUUCAUUGAGAGAAUGAAGGGCAGACAGUUGAGGAAAGGAGCAGCCAUCAACACACUGCUCAGAACACACAUAGAACACACAGGGCUCAGAUCUUCAUCAGCCUCACAUUUUGUUGCAGUAUGAAAACAUGUUAAGACUACAAAGUCGGACUCCACGAGUUCAGAAGCAAACAGAACUAAAGCUGCACAUGGGACAUUAGCUUGGCCUCCUUGUACACAGGAGCUGAUCGAUCUGAGGUAGUGCAGUGGGAGCUGGACACAAGGAAGGCUGUUGUCUGCUGAGUCUUUGCUGCGGGUGCUGGAGCAAAGAAUGAAAUACUGAGCUCCUGGUGCUUAAGGAAAACAUACACCUCACGGGAGAACAGGCUUCUAUCUUUUUCUUAAACUAAGCUUUCAGAUACAGUCGUUAACUAGCCUUCAUUACCAAAAUAUGCAGUUUGAACUUCUGGUUUCCUGAAUUACAGAGUACUCACAAUUGAAAUAGACCUAAAUUUAGAGCUGUUAUUGGAGCAAAGAUCAAAGAGGUACAGAGUUGGCCCUUUGAGAACAUACCACCAUUGCAGUCUAUCCAUCAGGCCUGGGCACAUCCACUCCUGUGAUUUAACAAGAAAUCUGUACCAAAUAAUUGGCAUUUAGGUCAAUGCUUAUAUUAGACCAACACAUAACACAAUCGGUCUCACACAAUCAUUCCCUUUUCAAAUCUGAAGGAACAACAUAAUCAAGAAAUGGCAGAGCAGCUGAAAGUGAACUUAACUGGAGAGGCAGCAGAAGGCAGCUGUGCGCAAGGAAAAAGGCAAAAACAGGAGUAUCUUUGGGAGCAAUGGCUUUCUGAUGUUAAUUCUCAGAAUGAACAGAGGCAUGCCAAGAAAAUCUUGGUGUUUCACAGAAUCACAGGGAUAGGAAGGGACCUAAGAGACCAUCAAGUCCAAUCCCUCAGCUAAAGCAGGUACCCUACAACGGAUCGCACUGGUAGGUGCCCAGUUGGGUCCUGAGUAUUGCCACAGAAGGAGACUCCACAGCCUCUCUGGGCAACCUGUUCCAGGGCUCCCUCAUCCUUACCAUAAUGAAGUUCCCUUGCACAUUAGUACAGUAACUUCCUACAUACAAGUUUUAGGCCAUUACUCCUUGUCUUACUGCUGCGUACCACUGAAAAGAGCCUGCCUCAUCCCUUUGCCUCACACAUCCCUUUAGAUAUUUAUAAACAUUUAUCAGAUCCCAUCUCAGCCUCCUUUCCCCCAGGCUGAGCAGACCCAGGUCACUCAGCCUUUCUUCAUGUGGGAAACGCUCCAGGCCCAUCAUCUUUGUGGCCCUCCAUUGGACACUUUCCAGGAGAUCUGUCUUUUUUUUUGAACACAGCCUAAACACGACCUCACAAGGUCAAAGUAGAUAAAAGUUGUUAAUAAAGACAAAAGUUCCUCAUGAGUUUUCAUUGAGGAUAUCGUCAAAGUAAAGAACAAGAACAAUCGUGUUUUCUCUUUAUUUUUGUCUUAGGUAGAAAACAGCUACUCAGAUUCUUAUAAGGCACUUGAUGUUAUGCCAAUUAAAAGAGCGCUUGUGAGCUCUAGGCUUUGAAUAUCCAUUCUAACUAGGCUGUAGGCACUUUUGAAAAUUCUGUGCGAGUCUCCAGAUGAUCCUAGACUUUUGGAAGUCCAGAACUAUUGUCUACAUAAUUUUUGACAAGAUCUCUGGGAAGGGGUGAUACAAAAUUUCAGUUCUCCUAUUCUGACCAAGGGGUUUUUCCCUUUCCCCUCUCAUUUCCUCUUCAUACUCCUUUUCCCACUAGUAAAUAUUUUUAUUCAGUACCACAUUCAAGUUAAUCACAUUUAUUUGUUUUGGAUAAUUGCUUAGAUGAUUGUUUAUCACAAAGUAAACAUUGUACUUAAUUAUUUUGGAGCUGACAAUGAUAAAGGCAGGUUGAUUCUCUUAAAGCAGCACUGUGUUAAUAUUAAGCUCUAACUUGCAGCUCACAGAGUUCGGUGAACAUGGAAAUAAAAUACUGUGUUCUCCUUCCCUGCCUUCUCUCUUAAUUUGAAGCUGCCAGUCAUAGUUUAUUGUUUUGAUAUCAAAUAGAACAUAUAGACUGACUCAACUAAUUCCAUGACUGUGCCUUAAGUGUUGAGAACACAGUAUUUCUUAAAAUAUUUAUUCUUUAUCUUAAGUGACAAGGCAGAGGCUAAAUGACACCUUCAGCACACUACACAUUCUAAAUUGACAAUAUUGUUAUCAUAGGAACUUCAAUAUAUUAGCACGAGGAUAUUAUAAAUCUGCCCAGAAAACAGAAGUAGUUACCACUAAAAAAUAACUUUUUUCAUUUUCCUCUCUAGAUCUAGAUUCAAAUUUGAGUUUUUAACUUCACAGGCAAGCAAUAAUCCAUAAUUAAAUUCAUUCUUCUGCAAAUGCAAAUUUUUCCCAUACUGGAUCUACAUUAUUUAGAUUUCAGACAAUGUUACUGGUUCAGCAAUAUGCUAAACUCUUAUUAUAGCCUGAGCAGAGACUGAUGAUCUUGAAGUGAAGUUCAAAAACCCCUGACAGGUUUCAAAGCCAACUAACGCUUAAUCAAUUGAACCCAGAAGGCAAAAAGAAAAUAGCAUCAACCUUCAUGAUUGUUACUGGAUCAGUGUAGUCCCUACUACACUGUAAAAAGGAACCUUUAACAUUGAUAAUGACAUAUAAGCAAAUGCAAUUGGAGCUUGCCUGCAGCUACGUGGGUGCAAGCCUUACUUUCCUAGCAGAAAAGAAGUGCAUUUGUCAAGACACAAUGGUCAUACUCAAAAAUUAAAGGGGGUAACUUGUCUCAGAAUGUACACUCAGCCUUUUCAGUGAUGAUAAAAAGUGACCUUGCCCUUUUCAUAUUGCAUCCAGAAAGAACACAAACUACACCACAAAGCUGAAUAAUAACUUGCAACACAGCAAUUUCUCAAAAGGUAUUAAAAUGCAGUUUGAGAGCAGUAGCAUUGGGGUGGUUUAGUCUGUCUUGCCUUGUGGCCUUACCCCUCUUCAUAUAUCACUGAGAUACAGUUAAUCAAUUAAAAAAAAAAAAAUCACUUAUAAAAUUUCUUCAUGCAUAGCUUUCCAGAGCAAGGGCUACUCACAAGAAAGGUUUUUACCACAAGAGGAAUAAGAAGAAUACAUUGGUAACAGUUCUUACUGCAGCACAGAGUCUCUGAAUUCACCAGCUGUUAAGCACUUUUAAUUCACUUUGUCAACCAGUGCUAAUGAACUGUUGUAACAAGGGGGGAAAUAUCACGGUACAUCGAGGAGGGACCUGCUUACAGUGAUCAAAAUGGAAAAAACUAACAUUAUUUGGUUACACAGUUGAUUCAUGGAGCGUGGAGAAUGCUUUAAAUAGAGACUUUUCUCCCUUAUGUAUAUAUCACUUGUACGUUAAGAUAAACUUUUGAGACUUUUUUUAGUGUACUGUUGCUUUUUUCCCUCCAGGAAGAUACAUUUUCUGUAGUGUGCAUUUUCAAUAAAACCUAAGAAAUAACACCAGAACAACAUUGUUUGUAACUCCACCUAGCGGUCUUAAAACCUCCCAGUGUAUUUAUGCAGUUGAUAGCUUGCACAUCGAGAACUCUCUCCUUAUUUGCUUUUGGCUAUACUCUUAUUUUCAUAUAAAAAUUAAAAGCUAGCCACAUUUUAUAUAGCAUUUGUUUUCAAAUACCUCUGCAACAUCAGCAGUGAUUUUACAUGAACUUGCAACUUUCGCUCUCAAGAGUCAAAAUCUUAUUAGUGCAAUAUAGUGAGUACAGUGGAAACUGUAUACGGAGAUGUUGCCAUUCAGUGCUACCAACCCAUUUUGGGAGUUGAAGUAAGCAUCUGUUUGACAACAUACAGCAAGCAUGUUACCAUUUAAAAUAAAGGAACAGUGUUAACUCUGGUAUGGUGAGAAGAUACUCAUACUUCCCAAAUUAGUAUACAGAGAGUACAAGAGUAUCGGUACUUCAGGUAACAAAUAACGAUCUAGAAUACAUCAUCACAAAUGCUGAAGACCUCAAUUUUGUUUGUAAUCUGAGAAAAAAAGUGGCCUACUAUCUCCAAAAGCGCUCUGCUUCUCUUCACUGUACAGGACAUUAGUACAGAAGGUAUUCAGAGAAAAGGACGAUACACAGUGAACACAUACUUUGUUUCACAUGAUAACUCCAUUAAGAGAGCCUUAGAAAUGCAUUAAAUCUGUAACCAUUUACUUAUUAACUGCCUUUACAUUGCUUUUCCGUAUGCAUAGAAUAAGUUCAAGCCUUUAAACAUAUUAUGACCUUCAUUUUAGAAUAGCAUUGACCAAUAAAACCAUAACGUGGUCAAAGCUGCAGCAAUAAUGGUGGAGCAGCACACCCCUAUACUACAGAAAAUGAAAACAAACCCAAACACAGCAGCAACAGACACACAAACAAAAGUAGUAAAAUUACCCACCUCAAAAAAGCAUCAGACAUACAGAGACCUUUAUCAGGAUACUCUUGCCUCCAUUGCCAACCUUUAACUGAGGUCUGGGAAGGGGUGAAUCCUGGCUCCACCCCUUCUGGUCACCCGAGUACAUUGCAUGCACCUGAGCUGCUCUAGACUGGCCCUGCCUUCCCACCAGGUGCUCAAUCACUGCUUCAAAACAUGAGUAAGCAUUUCUGCUAUGCUGUUGUAAUAAGAGAUAUGCUGUUAUUGUUUAUUGUUUUGUUUCCUAUUUAUUCACCUUACAAGGUAUGGUGCUUCAGACCCUCUUUUUGUUGUUGCGUAGAGCAGCUAGUUCAAAAAAGAUCUCAGCUUAUGUGUGCUUACUGCUAGAGAUGGUAACAAGAAACUCACUUCUUAAUUCUUAGAAAGGGAAGGAAACAGUGAGUUUUAGACAAGGCUAUUAUCAAUGCAUUUACAAUCAUUAGCAUUUCAACAAGCUUUUUAUUUUUUAAAUUAUCUGCUGCAUGUGUGUAUGAGAAGUGUUGAGUCACGGCCUGAACCACUGAUUGAGCACCUGAGGAAAUGACCCAGUCAGCCCUGGGAGCACAGGUGAAGGCAAUUCAGUUGGGUGACAGAAAUGGUUGCAGCCUGGCUGUGCCUCUCUUAGAUGUCAUUUCAGUGCUGACUGCCCCUGAGGAAGGAUAAUUUCUUGGGGGGUCGCUCCUUGGUGGAGCUUUCCCUUGUAACCUGGAAUCUUCUGAUACGGUGUGGAUUGAAAAUUGCGAGCCUGCUAUGCAUUCUCUUCCUAUGACUUCCUGCAAAGUACAGCUUUUAUUCCAGUCUUCCUCUGAGAACUUUAGGAAGCAAAAGUGCUGCUAGUAGUCAUAAGCUCAAAUAAUGAAAAGUUUAAGGAGUGAACGUAUUAAAAAGAUACUAUUCAAAAUGUAAGAUCUGAUCAUUUCUAUUCUUGUAUGGAGGUUAUAUGCUAGUGAUUCAGAUUGUAGAGGUUGAUAAAAAUGAUUUACUGACUACAAAAACAAAAAUAAUAUAUAAAACAUCUCUAAUGGAAGACUUUUACACUGUUUUCUAAAAUGAAGCUCUCAAUUUGCUAUACUGAAAUCUCCAACACCCGCAUAAUCUCAAAUAGUGGAAAUAGCCAAGUUAUUUUACUGCUAUGUGUUCUUGUCUAUGAAGAAGCUAUCUACUUCCAUGGAUAAGCCCCUCCUCAGCCUACUGGAGAGUUCUGUUGUCACUACAACUAGUGAACUCACAGCACAGGAAGGGAACAACUCAGUACUAGGUUAUCUAGUAUGAAAAAAAAAAUUACUGCUGCCAAAUACUUGAAAAUUGUUUUGGUUUCAUAUAGAGAACUGGCAAAUAGCAGAUCCUGGAAGUCAGCUUAUAAUAUCUGUAUGCUGUGAACUGCCUGCUGUGCUGGGAGGCAUAAAAAUAAAUGAGAACAUUAAAAUGGAAGUCAGGACAAUCUAGUGUGAUUCAGAAUACAAAGAGUGAGAGAGUGCAUAAGGAAAGGCUGGACCUGGUCACUGGGGCUGCAUACAACACUUGAGUCCUUGACGAGAAGCACUGAAUUCAUUCAAAUAAAAUGCACUCAGAAGCCUAUUUUUAGAUAACAAGCCUAUUGCAUACUCUUGAAAGAAGAUAUGAAGCUUUAAAAAUUGUUACGUGCUCAUUUGACUUUCAUUGACACCUGAGAAAGAAGCCUUUUAGCAUCGCUUUGUACAUUUUUAAUAAAAUAAUCAAUUGUCAAAAAGAAUUGAAGACUGGAAAUGUGUGUUACCAGCUGUUUCUGAUGUAUAGCUCUAGGCUGUGAGUUUGUUUGGUGUUUUCUCACCAAACACUGGGAGUCUUGUAUCACACUCUAUGAAACAACAGUAGCACCUAUUAUCACAUGGCAAAUUCAGUGAGAGGCAACAAAUGUGCCUUACUUCUAUGUCCUGUGAAGUUAAGGAGCACCUUUACUCCAAAAUCAGGGUGUGUCCAGCGCUAUGUUGUUCUCUUGUCCUUCCAAUCCUUGGGUUUCCAAGGGAAAUGCAUGAAUAUGUUGUCUCAUGUCCAUGAGUCUCCUUGAUAAGAACCUUCAAGAGCCCCCUUACGCUAAAGAAAAAAUGUCUCUUCAUUGUUUAUCUUCCCAUUUCUUCUGACUGAUGGCACCCCAUCCUUGGUUUAAAAACAAACAAACAAAAAAACA